GACGUAGGGCGCGAGCGUUGUCCGGAUUUAUUGGGCGUAAAGAGCUCGUAGGCGGCUUGUCGCGUCGUUCGUGAAAACCCGGGGCUCAACUCCGGGCUUGCGGGCGAUACGGGCAGGCUAGAGUUCGGUAGGGGAGACUGGAAUUCCUGGUGUAGCGGUGAAAUGCGCAGAUAUCAGGAGGAACACCAGCGGCGAAGGCGGCGCUCUGGGCCGGAACUGACGCUGAGGAGCGAAAGCGUGGGUAGCAAACAGG
rnacentral:rRNA from 1 species